UACUCCUGCCUAAAUACUCUAAAGGCACCCAAUCCCAUCUGAUCUUGGAAGCUAAGUGGGAUCCAUUCUGUUAAUAUUUGGAUGGGAGACCACUCAUGAAUUUUAGGUGCUGAAGACU
rnacentral:rRNA from 1 species